rnacentral:rRNA from 1 species
AUUGAACGCUGGCGGCAGGCCUAACACAUGCAAGUCGAGCGGAUGAAGGGAGCUUGCUCCUGGAUUCAGCGGCGGACGGGUGAGUAAUGCCCAGGAAUCUGCCUGGGAGUGGGGGAUAACGUCCGGAAACGGGCGCUAAUACCGCACACGUCCUGAGGGAGAAAGUGGGGGAUCUUCGGACCUCACGCUAUCAGAUGAGCCUAGGUCGGAUUAGCUAGUUGGUGGGGUAAAGGCCUACCAAGGCGACGAUCCGUAACUGGUCUGAGAGGAUGAUCAGUCACACUGGAACUGAGACACGGUCCAGACUCCUACGGGAUGCAGCCGUGGGGAAUAUUGGACCAUGGGCGAAAGCCUGAUCCAGCCAUGCCGCGUGUGUGAAGAAGGUCUUCGGAUUGUAAAGCACUUUAAGUUGGGAGGAAGGGCAGUAAGUUAAUACCUGGCUGUUUUGCCGUUACCCACAGAAUAAGCACCGGCUAACUUCGUG